rnacentral:rRNA from 1 species
CUGCUCAAUGAAUAAUUUUAAAUAGCUGCAGUAUAAAUAACUGUACAAAGGUAGCAUAAUAAUUUGUUUUUUAAUUGAAAACUAGAAUGAAUGAUUAAAUGAAAUAUAAACUAUAUCAAAUUUAAAAAAUAAAUUUAUUAUUUAAAUAAAAAAAUUUAAAUAAUUUUUAAAGACGAGAAGACCCUAAAGAAUUUUAAUAAUAAAUUAUAAUAUAAAUUUAAAAUUUAUUAUAUUAAUUGGGGAAAUUUUAAAAUUUAAAAAAUUUUUAAUUAAAUAAACAUAAAUUUUUGAAUAUUUAAAAUUUUUUUAAAAAAUGAAAUUAAAUUACCUUAGGGAUAACAGCAUAAUUUUUUUAAAAAG